AGUGAACGCUGGCGGUAGGCCUAACACAUGCAAGUCGAACGGCAGCACAGUAGGAGCUUGCUCUUACGGGUGGCGAGUGGCGGACGGGUGAGGAAUACAUCGGAAUCUACUUUUUCGUGGGGGAUAACGUAGGGAAACUUACGCUAAUACCGCAUACGACCUACGGGUGAAAGCAGGGGAUCUUCGGACCUUGCGCGGUUGAAUGAGCCGAUGUCGGAUUAGCUAGUUGGCGGGGUAAAGGCCCACCAAGGCGACGAUCCGUAGCUGGUCUGAGAGGAUGAUCAGCCACACUGGAACUGAGACACGGUCCAGACUCCUACGGGAGGCAGCAGUGGGGAAUAUUGGACAAUGGGCGCAAGCCUGAUCCAGCCAUACCGCGUGGGUGAAGAAGGCCUUCGGGUUGUAAAGCCCUUUUGUUGGGAAAGAAAAGCAGCAGGUUAAUACCCCGCUGUUCUGACGGUACCCAAAGAAUAAGCACCGGCUAACUUCGUG
rnacentral:rRNA from 1 species